rnacentral:rRNA from 1 species
UACGUAGGGGGCGAGCGUUGUCCGGAGUUACUGGGCGUAAAGCGCUUGUAGGCGGUCCACCAAGUUUGGGGUGACAGUUGCCGACUUAAUCGGCAAAGUGCCUCAAAGACUGGCGGACUUGAGGGCCACAGAGGGACAUGGAACUCCAGGUGUAGUGGUGAAAUGCGUAGAGAUCGGGAGGAACAUCUGUGGCGAAGGCGGCCACCUGGACCAACACUGACACUGAGGCACGAAAGCGUGGGGAGCAAACAGG